AUGGAUGCUAGUUCAAACCUAAGAAGUAAGGUUAGUUUUGCUUGAUUUAGUUUAUGGUCAUACACAAAGAUGCAACGAAUUUGCUUACUCCUGUGAAGCUCAUAAAGUCGACAGCACAAAUGGCAAAAACAAAUACAACAAUACAGAGGUACCGAUGAAUGACAAUCUUGAAUCUUGAAGUACAGCUAAAGAUGGACGGAACUAAAGAAGCAUGGCUGUGGUCCUCUCAGGAUCAUUGUCCCACAGAAGCUCUCAGACUACUUCCUAUACGGCAGCAUGUUCCCAUUCUUGGAGCUCGCUGAUCGGCCGCGUUUCAGAAUGUCCUGAAGUUGGUCAUCUUGUGGACAUGAAUUCUCACCCGUGUUGUAAACUGAAGCGCAGCGGGAGUCGAAACAUCAGCGGUCGGAGGUCUCCACACUCGGUAAUCAGUCAAUCUCUCUCUCGGAGGUGGGAAAGAGUUUGCUGCUGAUUCUCGAAUCGGGAAACUCGAAAUAAAAUGCGUUACCUCAGACCGACAGUAACAUCAAAAUAGCGACUGUUGUCCCCCUCUCACGUUGGAAGGAAUGAUAUCUGUCUCUCCCUUGUCAGAGAGAGAGACAGCAGGUGAGAUGUCGGAUACAUUGGAGUACGUUUGAUGGACUGUAGUCCAUGGUCUCUCUUUGGGAGCUUUGGGAGCUUGCAUGGCAAAUGGUGGGAAUGCUGAUGCGUUAUGCUAGAAUGACUGAGGGGGCGGAGAGCUGAUGCUGCUUGUACAUUCAAUUCAUUCCUGUUUGCCUCUCUCAUCUUAUAUGCCCAUCACCUCCCUCUGGUGCUCCCUUUCUAUCCUCUCCUAUCAGAUUCUCCCUUCAGCAGCCCCGUAUCUCUUCCACUAAUCAAAUUCCCAACUCUUUAUUUCAACCCCUCACACUCUCCCAGUUUCACCUCUCACCUGCCACCCUGUACUUCUUCCUCCCCUCCCCCCACCUUCCGAUUCUGACUUCUCCCCUUCCUUUCCAGUCCUGAUAAAGGGUCUUGGCCCAAAACGUCAAGUGCUUAACCUUUUCCACAGAUGCUGCCUGGCCUGAUGAGUUCCUCCAGCAUUUUGUGCUUUGGAUUUCCAGCAUCUGCAGAUUUUCAUGUUUUUGUGGGGAGGAAUCUUGUAAGCCAGAGGGUGGUGAAUCUGUGGAAUUCAUUGCCACAGAUGGCAGUGGAGGCCAAGUCAUUGGCUAUAUUUAAAGUGGAGGCUGAUAAAUUCUUAAUUAGUAAGGACGUCAAAGAUUUCAAGGAGAAAUCAGGAGAAUGGGGUGAGAGAGAGAAUAAAUCAGCCAUGAUGGAAUGGUGGAACUGACUCGAUGGGCUGAAUGGCCUAAUUCUGCUCCUAUUUUCUUAUAGGCUUCAUCAGAAAUGUGAAAGAAAGAAAAAUAAAUUAGCUUUUGUUCACAGAGAAGGUGGGGAAUGGAUGUAUAGAGCAGUGGGAAUAUCUUAGAAAUAUACUCCGAAAAUGCUGGUUCAGCAAAUUACACACAAAAUGUUGCUGGAACACAGCAGGCCAGGCAGCACCUAUAGGGAGAAGAACAGUCAACGUUUCGGGCCGAGAGCCUUCAUCAGGACUUACUGAAAGGAAAGAUAGUAUGAGAUCCUCGUUUUCAGCAAAUUAGGCAGUUUCUUUGGAGAUUCAUAGAGAUGGGGUGGUAGAUGAAGCAGCUGAGGUCUUUGCUGACGACUGAUCAUUUGGGAUCAGAGGAGUGAAGGCUGGCAGGGAUAGUAAAGUGGAAUGGAGAAACACGAGAGUUUAGAGAUAGAGUGAGUGUACAGAGAGGUCAAAGAGGUCAAGACCAUGCGUGUGUGGAUGUAUGUAGAUCUCAAAAUACAAAAGAGAUCAGGCCUGUUCAAACUAUUCAGACACAUUCCACCUUUUGUUUGGUUAGUUUGAGCUCCAAAUGGGGCACAUUGCAUAAGAUGCAACUAUGGGGCAGGCUUUAAACCACAUACAGCGGACAGACAUGGGAAGCACACAGACUACAAUGUCAACGUGUGAUGAUACCAGUUCCCCCUUGAGCUCACAAUGCUUCAGCUACUGCCUUCUCUAAACUUCUGAACAUGAGCAACAGGAAGGAACUGCCCCAAACACCUGUUUAAAGGGAUCAUUGACUUCUUACAAGCUAGUUGUUGCUUGAUUUCUUCUGGCUGCUAAUAUUAUUCUACAAGUGUUUGAUGAUUUCUAUAUUUCUUUUGAAUUGCAAAGUCGACAGGGAGGUGUUGAAUGACAUGUUGCUGACUUCAAGGAUUCUGCACAAACCAGUUGUUCGCAGACAUGGAUGCUUCAGUGGCAUUCCCCUCGCAAUACAUCAUGUCUAGGAGAAUUAGCAGAGCGUGCACAAAGCAGGACAAGUUGCUGGAAGAGAGCAAAGAGGGAGAUAGAAAAGGGUUCUGAGGAGGAGGUGAUAUGGAUGUCGUGGCCAAACAAAAAAAUACACACUAGCACCUCACAAACUGCUGGAGGAACUGAACAGGUCAGGCAGCAUCUAUGGAAAGAAAUAAACAGUCAAGACCCUUCAUCAAGACCUGAAGCAUCAACUGUUUAUUCCUUUCCAUAGAUGCUGCCUAACCUUCUGAGUUCCUCAAGCAUUUUGUGUGUUACUCUGAAUUUCCAGCAUCUGCAAAAUCCCCUUGCACUUGUGAGAGGAAUAAAUGGUCGAUGUUUCAGGCUGAAACUCUUCAUCUCUGUGUGUUACCUGGAUUUGCAGCAACUGGCGAAUAUCUUGUGUUUACACUAGCACCUCUACUUCUUCAGCAGGCUAGGGAAAAGCAGCAUGUCAUUAAUAACUCUCACCAAUUAUUACAGAUGCACUGGAGAAAGUAUCCUGUCCAGACUCAUCGUGGGUCCAUGUGGUAACUGUUCUGGCCAAGACUACAAGACAUUGCAGUUGUCAACACAGCAUGGUCCAUCAAGCAAACCAGCCUCUUUCUAUCGGGUCUGUCUACACUUUCUGCUAACAUAAUCAAGGACCUUGUCAGUCAUGGUUAUUCUCUGUCCUCCUCUCUCUGGUCAGGCAAAAGAUACAAAAACCAGAGAGCAUGAAUCAGCAGUCAACAUCCAAACCUUAAACACAAGAGAUUCUGCAAAUGCUGGAAAUCCAGAGUAACACAAACAAAAUGCUGGAGAAACUUGGCAGGUCAGGCAGCAUCUAUGGAGGAAAAUGAACAGCUGACUUUCUGGUCUGAGAUCCUUAGUCAGGACUUCAUCAGGUCCUGAUGAAGGGUCUUGGCCUGGAAUAUCAACCAUAUUGUUCCUAUGUAGAAAAUUUUACUCUGACAUAUUUACUCAUCAAAAGUAUUGAAUGUGUAAUCAAACAAGCUGCCUUCACAUAACUAGAGUUAGACUUUGCUCUUGCCCAUAAGCAAAUAGGACUGGAGACUUCACAGUGUUCAUCACACAAAAAUAGAUAGGCUAGUUGGCCCAAUUGUUCCAUAUUGAACAAGAUGCCUCAUCUAAGGUAGUCCCAUUUGCCAGCAUUUGGCUCAUAACUGUUUAAUCCUUUCCUAUCCAUGUAGCUGUCCAACUGUCUUUUAAAAAUUAUUUUUGUACCUGCGUCAACCAUUUCCUCUGUCAGCUCAUUCCACAUGCGUACCACCUUUUAUAUAAAAAGUAUCCCUUCAAAUUUUUAUUAAAUCUGUUUCCUUCUUUCCUUAAGCCUGAGCCCUCAAGUCCUUGAUUCUCCAUCUUUGGGGAAAAGACUACUGACUGCACUCUAUCUGUGCUUUCUAAAGGAGGCUAGAUAAGCUGGGACUCCUUUUUUCUCCUGGAGCCUAGGAGAUGAAGGGUGAUGCUGGAAGGCUGAAGAGACUGGUUAAGAGAGGGGUGAAGUUGCAAAAGAUUGGGCUAGUUGAAUGACAGAGGCAGAAUCCCUAUCCAGAAUUCAGCAGAAAAGCUGUAUUGUGCCUACUCACAGAGCGGGUGUUCCCCACUGGGUCCCACCUGUACCUAAUAUAGAGAUCAUUCAGUGUACAUUCAUGGCCUUCUGCUGCUGUAGCCCAUCCACUUCAGGGUCCGACAUGUUGCAUGUUCAGAGAUGCCCUUCUGCACAACACUGUUUUACCACGUGGUUAUUUGAGUUACUGUCGCCUUCCUGUCAGCUUGAACCAGUCUGGCCAUUCUCCUCCAACCCCUCUCACUUACGAGGUGUUUUCACCCUCAGAACUGCCAAUCACUGGAUGUUUUAAGUUUUUCAUAUCAUUUUCUGUAAACUCUAGAGAUUGUUGUGCAGGAAAAUCCCAGGAGAUCAGCGGCGUCUGAGAUACUCAAACCACCCCAUCAGGCACCAACAAUCAUUCCACUGUCAAAGUCACUUAGAUCACAAUUUCCCCAUUCUGAUGUUUGAUCUGAACAACAACUGAACCUCUUAACUAUGUCUGCAUGCUGUUAUGCAUUGGGAUGAUGCCACAUGAUUGGCUGAUUAGAUAUUGGCAAUUACAAGCAGGUAUACCCAAUAAAGUGGCCACUGAGUGUAUAUUCUGAACAUGACUGGAACAUUGCGCAAAACCAAGGGCAGUAGGUCUGGGUCAGAGGGGGUCAGGGCCAGUUCAGUGGACUCAAUGGAAGAGUCCUGCAAGCGAUCACUUCAUCAGGUUUUGAUCUCCCAGCACAGUGGAGAUCAAAAAGCUGAUAGAAAAGCAAGUCUAGAGAGAAUGUUUUGAAACACUGGACCAGUAAACUGGAUUGUUUCAGUGCUCAUAUUUAUGAGUAAUUAUACAGACUGACUGCCAAACAGUAUAUAAACAAAAGCUAUUUUCCUCACUAAAGACACUGGACAUGCUCAGAACUAUACACGGACUUCUUAAAAGGAAAUUCCCGUGUUCUUAAAAGUAAAACAUUUAAACCGAGGUAACCGAGCAACAGAACAAGAGAAAAAGGAAAAAUACAGGUAAAUAGAACUCAUACCUGAAGACACAUUAUACUGCAGAUGCUAGGACAUAGAACGUAGAGCAUUACAGCACAGAACAGGCUUUUGGUCCAUGAUGUUCUGCUAACCUUAUAACCUACUCUAAGCUCAAUCUAUCCAUUCUCUCCACAUAGUCCUCCAUUUUUCCAUUAUCCAUGUGCCUAUCUAACAGUUUUUUUUAAAUGCCCCGGAUAUAUCUGCCUCCACUAUUACCCCUGGUAGGGCAUUCCAUGCACUUCCCACUCGGCGUAUGCCACCCCCCCCCCUUUUCUUUCCUCCAAUCACAUUAAGAUUAUGUACGCUGGUAUUAGCCAUUUCUGUCUUGGAAAAACGUCUCUGGCUAUACACUUGAUCUAUGCAUCUUAUCAUCUUGUACACCUCUACCAAGUCACUUCUCAUCCUCUUUCACUCAAAUAAGGUAAACCCUAACUCACUCAACCUAUCCUCAUAACACAUUAUCUCUAAUCCAGGCAGCAUCCUGUUAAAUCUCCUCGGCACCCCCUCUAAAGCUUCUACAUCCUUCCGAUACUGCCAGUAUAAAAAGGUGAAAGGGAUGGGUGAGACAGAGGCUGAUAGAUGAUAGUCAGAACCAGGUAAAAUGGGGCCGGUGGGCUCCUGGAGCUAAGUGGGGAAGGAGGUGACAGGAUAGUGGAUGACAGGUACAGACAAGUAAAGAACUGCAAGCUAUGUGGAUGGAAUAAAGUGAGGGGAGGGGAGGAGCAAGGUAGAGACAAAAGCAGAAAGGUGAUGUACAACAAGAUAUCGAAGGAAUAAUGGGCAGAUAGAAUCAGGGUGAAGAGAGUAACAAAUUCAGUAAGAUUGGGGGUGGGAAUAGGUGGUGCAAAGCAGAAGGAAUAGAAAAGGUGAUCAAGGCAGAGAGGAACCGGAUGGACUGGUAAUCAGAAAGGAAUCCUGCAGAUGAGGUUCACCAGAUUUUAGAAGAUUCAAUAUUAAUACCAUUGGGUACUAAACCACUUCCUUGCAUUUAACUUUUCCACUCAAGGUCAGAAAUCCACGUUUAUAUUCAUGAGCAAUACACACAAGAUGCUGGAGGAACUCAGCAGAGCAGGCAGCAUCUAUAGAAAAGAGAAAACAGUCGACUUUUCAGGCCAAGCCCCUUCAUCAGGUCUGGAAAGGAAAGGGAGAAGUCAGAGUAAGAAGGUGGUGAAGGGAGGGGAGGGAGAAGUACAAGGUGGAAGGUGAUAGGUGAAACCUGGAGUGGGGGGCUGAAGUAAAGAGCUGGGAAGUUGAUUGGUGAAAGAGGUAAAGGGCUGGAGAAGGGGGAAUCUGGGAGGACAGAAGGCUAUGGAAGGUGAAAGAGCACCAGAGGCAGGUGAUGCGUAGAUAAGGUGAAAGAGGGAAACAGAAGUGGGGAAUGGUGAGGAUAAGGGGACCCCUAUCCCUGGUUUGGCAGAGAGAGGAUGGCAUGAGGGCAGAUGUGUGCAAAAUGGAAGCCAUGCGGGUGAAGGCAGUGUUGAUGGUGGAGGAAAGGAAGCCCAUUUAUCUGAAGGAGGAGGACAUCUCCUUCGUUCUGGAAUGAAAAGUCUCAUCCUGAGAGCAGAUGCAGUAGAGAUGGAUGAACUAAGAGAAGGGGAUGGCACUUUUUACACGUGACAGGGUAGGGACAGGUAUGGUCAUGAUAGCUGUGAGAGUCAGGGGGUUUAUAAAAGAUAUCAGUAGAUAGACUGUCUGCAGAGAUGGAGACAAAGAGAUUGAGAAAGGGGACAGAGGUGUUGGAAAAGAACCAAAUAAAGGGUUUCCCUUCCUCCCCCAUCAACUCCGCCCUCACCCACAUCUCUUCCAUUUUGUGCACAUCUGCCCUCACCCCAUCAUGGAUGCUGCCUAACCUGCUGAGAUCCUUCAUCUGAUGUGAAAUUUGUUAACUUUGUGCCAACUGUACAAUACUUGAUAAAUAAAGAGAAAAAGCUGAA